CUUUCUUUUUAUACGUUUCUAUGUCUUUUUCUUCUUUUAUGAAUCUUUUUCUUCGUGAAGAUAUUUAGAACUCGAUGUUCACCAAUGCACAGUAUAUAAUUAGAUAAUAUAUACCAAGUAAAAUAGUUAUCUAUCAUUAUAAUAAAUUAAUUCAAAUAAAUUGAUAUAUAAUUUUUAGAAUAUGAUAUUUAUUGGAUAUAAAAUAUCCUCGGC
rnacentral:lncRNA from 1 species